GCCAGGAAGCCGAUGGAAGGAAAACGAGCCGAAGCCAAGGGAAUUCAACGAGCCGGGAACCGUGGAAGGUUGUAGGACAGGAGCCAUCUGAAAGGUCGUCGGACCGAGACCAGGUGGAGGUCGACAAGCCAGGAAAACGGUGGUCGUUGGACAGGUGCCAAGGAAGGUCGUUGGGACGAAUCCAUUGCGAGCCGGCCGGAAUCCAUAGGAAGGUCGGCGAGCCGGGAGCCAGAGGAAGGUCGUAGUGCCAUUGGUGAGGCGUCGGGCCAACAGAAGAGCGUCGAGCCUGAACCAAACAAGGUCGUCGGACCGAGCCACUGGGAGGUCGUCGGACCCGUGCCAUGGAAGGUCGUAGGGCUGGGACCACGAAUGCGGUCGUCGAACCAGAGCCACUGGUAGGUCGUCGAACCGGAAGCCAUAGAAGGUUGGCGGGCCGGUAUCAUGAAACGUGGUCAAGUCAGGAUCCAGGUGGUGGUCGUUGAACCAGGAGUCUCUGGUGGACUUGCGAGCGGGGUACCACGGAAGGUCGCCAAGCCGGUGCCAUGGAAGGUAGUCGGACCGGAAAGCCAAGUGGAGGUCGUCGGGCUGGAACCACUGGGAGGCGCAGGCCUCAGGAAAGGCGUCGAGGCGAAGAAGAGAAUCUUCGAGCCACAUGAUGAGCACUGAGACCAGAGCCAUGGAAGUUCGUCGGGCCAGAGCCAUUGGGAGGUCGUCGUGCCAGAUCCCGGUGGAGGUCGUCGAACUGGAGUCAUGGAAGGUCAUCGAGUUGCAACAGGGGCGAGAGCGUGUUCCGGUGCGUGCGUUGAAGAGAAGUAGCCCCAUCUUCAGGAGGAGCCACCGGAGGCAGUUGAAAGACUGCGAAUGUGUAUGUUGAGGAGGAGUGUUGAGAUUUGUCCAAUCGAAGCAAUCGAUAGGACAAAUAACAACAUACACAUAAUAAAUAAACAAUCAAAUAUGUAACCAUACACACAAAACUUUCGGGGCUCCACUUAGCAAAAUUUCGCUGUUACUUUCCGUUAGCAAAAAUAUUUUUUUACUUUUCAGUUAGCACUUUCCCAAAUUGUCAUGACUUUUGCUCAAUUUGGGUAAAAAAAACCCCUUUGCUACUAAAUUGAGUAAUUCUAUUAGCAUGGACUCGAACCGCAGUCGUUUUUUCCGAGUGUCGUUCGGUCUGACCGUCUGACGCAAUUUCGAGCAGAAAAAAAGUGUUAUGAUUUCGUGUUUACGUGAAAGUGUAAAUCCCUCAUUGAUCAACCUGUUCCACGCAGAACCGCCAACCAACAAUGUCAGCUUUGCUGAUCGGUGCAACCCGAUUAAUGUACCUAUUGUGUUUCUGUUUUAUGUUCCCGGGGCAUUCAUCCCAGGCUGCUCCGAAAUCCACCUACACAGGUGCGGGUACCACUGAGCAUUCUUCCGGUGUGGAUGACAUUUGGUGAUCCGGCCAAAGAUAAUGUUGGGAUGUACGCCCGAGGAAGAGCUCAUAACAUCGCUGUAAUGGUGCGACCAAUCAACUCUUUAUACAAAAUAGUUAAACCGUUCCGGAAUUCUCCGCUCGGAGAUUUGGGGUGUUCGAUUGAUCCGGUAACGUUGCUGCUGCUCACGGAAGCCAAAUCAAUUCAUAGAGAAGAAUAUUCUGCAGAAUUCGCUCGCUAACGGAGAAGAAAAGCUUCCGAUGGCACACCACAGGUGAGCGGCCUUUAAAAAUUCAAAACGACAGCAAGCAUACUAGGAAGUAGUAUAAUUCGAGAAAGACGAGCAAUAUUGAUGAAUAAUUUAAGAAGACUACGACUCGCCAGGAGCUAGAGUGCUGCUCCUUUGGUGAUGAUGACGGUUGGGGCAAACCUCAACUUACAAUCAAGAAUGGCGUAAGUUUUUAGUUCAGUACCAACUUAUUCAAAUUUCUCUAUAAUCAUUUCGUUUUUAAGAACGCCAUUAGGGAACCUGUAAUAAACAGCACCCAGUAAAGAGAACUGGUCUCCAAAUUAAAAAAAAUCUUUCGAGCAGGAGGAAGAAAGUGAAGAUGAAGAAUCGCAUCAAGGUUCUAAUACUGGACAGCAAUCACAGAAUCAUCAUCGAAUCCAAACAUUUAAAGCGGGUCAAUGAAUCGCAAUGAAUAUGCUGACCAUAUCUUAUUUUAUAAUAUCGGUCGGCGCCUAAAACCUGAAUCUCCAAUUCGGACACGAUGAAGAAUGGUGCGAC